rnacentral:rRNA from 1 species
UCUCAAAGAUUAAGCCAUGCAUGUCUAAGUACUAACCGGUGAAACCGCGAAUGGCUCAUUAAAUCAGUUACGGUUCCUUAGAUAUUAAUAAUCUACAUGGAUAACUGUGGUAAUUCUAGAGCUAAUACAUGCACAAAAGAUUUGACCCUUCGGGAAGAAUCGCAUUUAUUAGACCAAGACCAAUGGGGCCCUUCGGGGUCCCUUUGUAUGGUGACUCUGGAUAACUGUGCUGAUCGCAUGGCCUAUGUGCCGGCGACGAAUCUUUCAAGUGUCUGCCUUAUCAACUUUCGAUGGUAGGUUAUGCGCCUACCAUGGUUGUAACGGGUAACGGGGAAUCAGGGUUCGAUUCCGGAGAGGGAGCCUGAGAAACGGCUACCACAUCCAAGGAAGGCAGCAGGCACGCAAAUUACCCACUCCCGGCACGGGGAGGUAGUGACGAAAAAUAACAAUACGGGACUCUAAUUGAGGCCUCGUAAUUGGAAUGAGUACAAUCUAAAUCCUUUAACGAGGAUCCAUUGGAGGGCAAGUCUGGUGCCAGCAGCCGCGGUAAUUCCAGCUCCAAUAGCGUAUAUUAAAGUUGUUGCGGUUAAAAAGCUCGUAGUUGGAUCUCAGCUCAUGCUAUGUGGUCCACUUGCCGGUGGUUACUGCAUAGCUGAGCAUUUUACAGACCUGUCUUACGAUGCUCUUCACCGGGUGUCGUAAGCGAUCUGUACGUUUACUUUGAAAAAAUUAGAGUGCUCAAAGCAGGCGUAACGCCCGAAUAAUCUUGCAUGGAAUAAUGAAAUAGGACCUCGGUUCUAUUUUGUUGGUCUUCGGAAUCUGAGGUAAUGAUUAAGAGGGACAGACGGGGGCAUUCGUAUUGCGGCGCUAGAGGUGAAAUUCUUGGACCGUCGCAAGACGAACUACAGCGAAAGCAUUUGCCAAGAAUGUUUUCAUUAAUCAAGAACGAAAGUUAGAGGUUCGAAGGCGAUCAGAUACCGCCCUAGUUCUAACCAUAAACGAUGCCAACCAGCGAUCAGCCUGAGUUCUUUAAAUGACUCGGCUGGCAGCUUCCGGGAAACCAAAGUUUUUCGGUUCCGGGGGAAGUAUGGUUGCAAAGCUGAAACUUAAAGGAAUUGACGGAAGGGCACCACCAGGAGUGGAGCCUGCGGCUUAAUUUGACUCAACACGGGAAAACUUACCCGGCCCGGACACUGGGAGGAUUGACAGAUUGAGAGCUCUUUCUUGAUUCAGUGGGUGGUGGUGCAUGGCCGUUCUUAGUUGGUGGAGCGAUUUGUCUGGUUAAUUCCGAUAACGAACGAGACUCCUGCCUACUAAAUAGACCGUUGACUCUUUUGCGUCAACGGGACUUCUUAGAGGGACAGGCGGCGGUACAGCCGCACGAGACGGAGCAAUAACAGGUCUGUGAUGCCCUUAGAUGUCCGGGGCCGCACGCGCGCUACACUGAAGUGAUCAGCGUGCAUAGGUAACCCUCUCUGACAAGAGUGGGUAACCCAAUGAACCUUCUUCGUGAUAGGGACUGGGCAUUGUAAUUAUUGCCCAUGAACGAGGAAUUCCCAGUAAGCAUGAGUCAUUAAGCUCGUGUUGAUUACGUCCCUGCCCUUUGUACACACCGCCCGUCGCUACUACCGAUUGAAUGAUUUAGUGAGGACUUCGGACUAGUCGGUGCAGCUGCCUUCGGGUGGCCGCGCUGUGCCGGAAAGAUGUCCAAACUUGAUCAUUUAGAGGAAGUACGAAAAAUCACGAACGCUCUUCGGUCGCUGGGUAACGCGACCAUCAUCAACAAGGAGGUUCUUGAUGGACUAUUGAAAGAAGUCUGCACAGCCCUGCUGGAGGCGGACGUGAAUAUCAAACUAGUGAAACAUCUUCGAGAGAAUGUCCGACAAGUCAUCGACUUCGAAGAAAUGGCAGCGGGCCUCAACAAGCGCCGAAUGAUUCAAAUGGCCGUUUUCAAAGAGUUAGUGAAACUAGUUGAUCCCGGUGUGAAGGCCUGGCAGCCGGCCAAGGGUAAGGCCAAUGUAAUUAUGUUCGUGGGCCUCCAGGGCUCAGGGAAGACGACCACUUGCACCAAGAUGGCCUACUAUUAUCAGAGGAAGGGUUGGAAGUGCUGCCUUGUCUGCGCGGACACUUUUCGUGCGGGUGCCUUUGAUCAGUUGAAACAAAACGCCACCAAGGCUCGAAUCCCAUUCUACGGGUCGUACACAGAAUCUGAUCCCGUCGUCAUCGCGGCGGAAGGCGUUGAGAAGUUCAAGAAGGAAAAUUUCGAGAUCAUCAUCGUGGACACCAGCGGCCGUCAUAAGCAGGAGAGUAGCCUGUUCGAGGAGAUGCUCCAAAUUUCCAAUGCCAUCCAGCCUAAUCUAGCCAUUUUCGUGAUGGACGCUUCAAUCGGCCAGGCCUGCGAGGCCCAGGCGAGAGCGUUCAAGUCCAAAGUGGACGUUGGGGCGGUCAUCGUGACCAAGCUAGAUGGUCAUGCGAAGGGUGGGGGAGCCCUGAGUGCGGUCGCGGCCACCAAUUCGCCAAUCAUCUUCAUCGGAACGGGUGAACAUAUAGACGAGUUUGAACAGUUCAAAGUGAAACCGUUCGUUUCGAAGCUGCUCGGCAUGGGCGACAUCGAGGGGCUGAUAGACAAAGUGAACGAACUUAAACUCGAUGAUAAUGAGGAGUUGAUCGAGAAGCUCAAGCAUGGUGAGUUCACCCUGAGGGACAUGUACGAGCAGUUCACGAAUAUUAUGAAAAUGGGCCCUUUCAAUCAAAUCUUGAACAUGAUCCCUGGGUUUGGGGCUGAGUUGGCCAAGGGCGCCUCUGAAGCCGAAUCCAUGGCUCGAUUGAAGCGACUGAUGACAAUUAUGGACUCGAUGAGUGACCCAGAGCUGGAUUCGAGGGAAGGUGCGAAGCUGUUCACCAAACAGCCCACGAGAAUGACGAGGGUGGCGCGAGGCAGUGGGGUGACCACUCGAGAGGUUCAGGAACUGUUAACUCAAUACACCAAGUUCGCUGCCGUGGUCAAGAAAAUGGGCGGGAUUAAGGGUCUUUUUAAGGGUGGUGAUAUGAGUAAAAAUGUGAAUCCAGUUCAAAUGGCAAAAUUGAAUCAACAAAUGGCCAAAAUGAUGGACCCGCGAGUUCUUCAGCAGAUGGGCGGAAUGUCCGGCUUGCAGAAUAUGAU